UGGGGAAUAUUGCACAAUGGGCGCAAGCCUGAUGCAGCCAUGCCGCGUGUAUGAAGAAGGCCUUCGGGUUGUAAAGUACUUUCAGCGGGGAGGAAGGCGUUGUGGUUAAUAACCGCAACGAUUGACGUUACUCGCAGAAGAAGCACCGGCUAACUCCGUGCCAGCAGCCGCGGUAAUACGGAGGGUGCAAGCGUUAAUCGGAAUUACUGGGCGUAAAGCGCAAGCAGGCGGUCUGUCAAGUCGGAUGUGAAAUCCCCGGGCUCAACCUGGGAACUGCAUCCGAAACUGGCAGGCUAGAGUCUUGUAGAGGGGGGUAGAAUUCCAGGUGUAGCGGUGAAAUGCGUAGAGAUCUGGAGGAAUACCGGUGGCGAAGGCGGCCCCCUGGACAAAGACUGACGCUCAGGUGCGAAAGCGUGGGGAGCAAACA
rnacentral:rRNA from 1 species